rnacentral:tRNA from 1 species
GCCUUCCUAGCUUAAUGGCUAAAGCGAUGCCCUUGUAAGGCAUUAGAUGGGGGUUCGAAUCCCUCGGAAGGCU